rnacentral:rRNA from 1 species
GACGAACGCUGGCGGCGUGCUUAACACAUGCAAGUCGAACGGAAAGGCCCUGCUUUUGUGGGGUGCUCGAGUGGCGAACGGGUGAGUAACACGUGAGUAACCUGCCCUUGACUUUGGGAUAACUUCAGGAAACUGGGGCUAAUACCGGAUAGCAGCUCCUGCUGCAGGGUGGGGGUUGGAAAGUUUCGGCGGUUGGGGAUGGACUCGCGGCUUAUCAGCUUGUUGGUGGGGUAGUGGCUUACCAAGGCUUUGACGGGUAGCCGGCCUGAGAGGGUGACCGGCCACAUUGGGACUGAGAGACGGCCGAGACUCCUACGGGAGGCAGCAGUGGGGAAUAUUGCACAAUGGGCGGAAGCCUGAUGCAGCAACGCCGCGUGCGGGAUGACGGCCUUCGGGUUGUAGACCGCUUUCGCCUGUGACGAAGCGUGAGUGACGGUAAUGGGUAAAGAAGCACCGGCUAACUACGUGC